rnacentral:rRNA from 1 species
UACGUAGGGGGCAAGCGUUGUCCGGAUUUAUUGGGCGUAAAGAGCGUGUAGGCGGCUUUACAGGUCCGUUGUGAAAACUCGAGGCUCAACCUCGAGACGCCGGUGGAAACCGUAAAGCUAGAGUCCGGAAGAGGAGAGUGGAAUUCCAGGUGUAGCGGUGAAAUGCGUAGAUAUCUGGAGGAAUACCGGUGGCGAAGGCGGCAUCCUGGACCGACAUUGACGCUGAUGAGCGAAAGCUAGGGGAGCAAACGGG